UGGGGAAUCUUGCGCAAUGGGCGAAAGCCUGACGCAGCGACACCGCGUGAGUGAGGAAGGUCUUCGGAUUGUAAAGCUCUGUCGGCAGGAAAGAUGGAACAGGUGGUUAAUACCCAUUUGUUUUGACGGUACCUGCAAAGGAAGCACCGGCUAACUCUGUGCCAGCAGCCGCGGUAAUACAGAGGGUGCAAGCGUUGUUCGGAUUUACUGGGCGUAAAGGGCGCGUAGGCGGCAAUUCAAGUCAUCUGUGAAAUCUCCGGGCUUAACUCGGAACGGUCAGAUGAUACUGCUUUGCUAGAGUGCAGAAGGGGCAAUCGGAAUUCUUGGUGUAGCGGUGAAAUGCGUAGAUAUCAAGAGGAACACCUGAGGUGAAGACGGGUUGCUGGGCUGACACUGACGCUGAGGCGCGAAAGCUAGGGUAGCAAACGGGAUUAGAUACCCAAGUAGUCCCUGAGCGGGCUGGCAAGGCGCAU
rnacentral:rRNA from 1 species